rnacentral:rRNA from 1 species
CCGUUCGGGAAACUCUGACGACAGGUGCUGCAUGGCUGUCGUCAGCUCGUGUCGUGAGAUGUUGGGUUAAGUCCCGCAACGAGCGCAACCCUAUUGCUAGUUACCAUCAUUAAUUGGGGACUCUAGCGAGACUGCCAGUGAUAAACUGGAGGAAGGUGGGGAUGACGUCAAAUCAUCAUGCCCCUUAUGACCUGGGCUACAAACGUGAUACAAUGGCUGGAACAAAGGGAUGCGAAGCAGUGAUGUGGAGCGAAACCCAUAAAAACAGUCUCAGUUCGGAUUGAAGUCUGCAACUCGACUUCAUGAAGUCGGAAUCGCUAGUAAUCGCGGAUCAGAACGCCGCGGUGAAUACGUUCUCGGGUUU